rnacentral:ncRNA from 1 species
UCCAGUGGUCUCUAUGGAUGCUGACGCAAUGUGAUUUAUGCCCAGUUCUUUGCAUGUCAAAGUGAAGAAAUUCAACCAAGCACAGGUAAAUGAAGGGAGUAACUAUGACUCUAUUAACGUAGACAAAUGCCUUGUAAUCUAAUUAGUAACAUGCAUGAAUGGAUUAAUAGGACCCCCACUAUCCAAGUCUACUAUCUAGAGAAACCAUAGCCAAUGGAACUAGAUUGGAAAAAUCAACGAGGAAAGAAUACCAUGUUGACCUUGACUUUAGUCUCACUUUGUGAAAUGAAUUAAGAGGUGUAGAACAAGUUGGAGCCAUUUUUAGCGCAAGUGAAAUACCAUUACUUUUAAUGUUAUUUCACUUAUUCUGUGGGCAAGAUAUGGGGAAUUGCACAUAUCUUAAAAGAUCACACAUAUUUCCUCAAAGUGUUGUCAUUGAUGGCAAUGGUCGAGAGGU